UCGUAUAAUUUACUGGAACAAAACAGCUGAAGCUAUUAUACUAUAUAUUAAAGCUGGGUUUCCGGUUACUGUUACUAAGCCGUUUUUUAUCGGCUCGAGCUGAGCCGGUUGGUUAAAAUUACACUUCUGUCCUUAUUCCCUGAUAAUUUACAGCUUUGCCUGAUUUGGAUAAGGGUCGGUUCUUGCCUUUGCUUUACAAUUUCAAGCUGCCGGUGCCUUCGGGAGUUUGACCUCCACUGACCUUUCCAGAAGUUCCGCGACUUCUAGACAUCUACAUCUACAUCUACAUCUACAGAUAGAGAGGAACGAUCCAGAGAGAGAUAGUGAUCGGGUCUGAGAGAGAGCAAUCCAGGACGAUCCACAGAGAGAUAGAGAGAUCGGGUCUGAGAGAGAGCAAUCCAGAGAGAUAUCAAGGGCGAUCCACAGAGAGAGAGGAGCGAUCCAGAGAGAGAUAUCAAGGGCGAUCCACAGAGCAAAACGUGUGAUCUGCUGUGUUCGGGAAGCCUCCAUCAACAUCCGGAAUCACUGUUAGUAACCUCAGAGUCGGCAAUCAUGCAGAAUCACCAACAGUGAGGACUCGUCUCUGUAAAAGUUCAAGCCCAAAAAAAAAAAAAAAACAGGUUUGUGGUGUUUGAAGAGAAAGAGAGAGAAGAGGAUUUGGUUUGAACAGUCCCGAAUUUGUGGCUUUAGCGAGUUUGCCAAGAGUUUGUGUGUUUAAUUUAAAACUUCUUCAUGUGGUAGAGAGAAUGGAUAUGCAAUGAAGUUGGCUUUUUUGAGGGGAUUCAGUUUGCAUAUACUAUUAUUGAUACUCAAGCACACUGAAGUUGAAUACGUUUUCCUUUAUUCAAGGCAGCUUCAAUUCAAAUCAAAAUCUCUUUUUUCUCUGGGUAAAGGUCUUCACUUUUUGACAGUAAGGUUCUCUUUCAAGUGAUUGAUUUGUUAGAUCGUCUGUAUUCUAGGUUUUUUAGGUUCUUUGCAAAGAAGUGCGUGCAUUAUUCUUCUGCCGCUGUUCCUGUGUACAUUGUUUGGCGUUAUCUCAGUCUCUUAUUCCUAUUCAGACCAAGCAUUACCCAUGUAACUACAUUCAUCAUCUUGGCUGGAAGGUUGAAAUACAAGAGGUUAUCUUUUUGAAGUGGAUUUCUUCUGGCUUACUUUUGAUCACUGCUACAACUUGAUUGGUUGUUAUAAAUUGCAGACCACGAUUCAGUUUGACAUCUAGAAUUGUGGGUUUCAUACUUUGGUUUUGGAUAAGGAAUGUCGAAGUACAAAGAGCCAAUGGAAAAGAUGAGUUUUGCAGGCAAUGGAAAUCUCGCUUUAUAUAAAAACACGAAGCCCAUACCAACAACCAAGGCCUCUCCAUUUCCAGUGUUAUCAUAGGAAUAUGGCAUGUCCAGCUUAUAAGGCUUUUGAGGUUGCUGCGGUGACAUGCUAUGACAGUUACUUUGCCAUUUGCUCAUUUGUUCAUAACAUCUUAUGUAUUUCAACUAAUUAUCGUCUUCCAAUUUUGCUUCAA